rnacentral:rRNA from 1 species
CACGCAGGCGGUCUCUUAAGUCCUUUGUGAAAGCCCGGGGCUCAACUCCGGAACUGCAGAGGAUACUGGGAGACUGGAGACAGGUAGAGGCUAGCGGAAUUCCUGGUGUAGCGGUGGAAUGCGUAGAUAUCAGGAAGAACACCUGUGGCGAAGGCGGCUAGCUGGGCCUGUUCUGACGCUCAUGUGCGAAAGCGUGGGGAGCAAACA